rnacentral:tRNA from 1 species
GGACUCUUAGCUCAGUAGCGUAGAGCACUCGGCUCAUAACCGAGCGGUCACUGGUUCGAUUCCAGUAGAGUCCAUCA